rnacentral:rRNA from 1 species
GACGAACCGUGCGAACGUUGUUCGGAAUCACUGGGCUUAAAGGGCGCGUAGGCGGCUCGCCAAGUCAGGGGUGAAAUCUUUCGGCUCAACCGGAAAAGUGCCUUUGAUACUGGCGGGCUCGAGCGAGGUAGGGGCAUGUGGAACUUCCGGUGGAGCGGUGAAAUGUGUUGAUAUCGGAAGGAACACCGGUGGCGAAAGCGACGUGCUGGACCUCUUCUGACGCUGAGGCGCGAAAGCUAGGGUAGCGAACGGG